UAGUACGAUGAGAGAUUAAUAAGGACCACAGACCGCCUUUCUGGCCGAAAGCAUGUUCUAUGGGAAGUCGGUGGACCCCAUGUUUAAAGCUCUCCUUUGGACCUGAUUCGAGGAAAUUCGUUUGAAAUGCCACCGGUUCUACUACUGCCAAAUCUCAGGUCCCAAAUGAGGUCAACGUCGACACGUGUCUUGUGCUAUCUGAUAAAAGUGACCUUAAGGCCGUCUACGCGAAAAAACGUUUACCUGCACGUAAUAAUAGACUAUUACUGCUUCCUGCAUAACACGUCUGCCACUGACCAUUGGUGGUAUUCAACCUCUGCUAAAAGCGUUCUUCCUUCAUCAAGUCAGGCCUGAUCCAAUUGUGCCAUGGCUAGACUGAGCAUGACAGCGACGACAGAAGCAGAAGCAGCAGCAGCAGCAACAACAAGAGCUUGUGUAGCUAACAUUUUGCUACGUUCGAAUUUAUGGAUGACAACCCUCCUAACGGCGAUGGUGAUGUCUUUAUCGAAACGAAUGCAAAGACGGUCCCGCCGUUACACGGUUACAGUACGGAGUAGGACAGCUCGUCUCACUUACUUUUACUUGCUUGUUCCCCUCAUCGCAGGCCAAUGAGGCUCGCUAUUAUCGGCAUGCUGUGGCGCGUCGGUAUCUUGGGUUGAGUACCAGCACAGGCACGCAGUUAUAAUGUUCGAACCGACUGGGGGUCUCACACGAAUUUGUCAUAGUAGUCAACCUCUUAUUCAUCGAUCACCCAUUGAUUAGCUUCGCUUAAUCACAUUGCACGCCACAGGCAGAUACAAGGUGAUACCGGUGCUUCAGCUUGGCCGCGAAUUCAUUGCAUUAUAAGCCGUAUACUGUUAAUUCAUAGUACCGCAGCAGGUUUCUGCAAAGUUAGGCCAACAUAGUACGACCUCUGUUUUAACUGGCAAGUAUCUAACUGUAUCUUUCGAGCAGUCGUUGUUAUACUGGUCAUGUGCCUACAACUAUUUCUUAGGUGGUCCACGGAACGUUCGUGCUACAGGGAUUCUUGGCGUAUCUAACAUUCAGUAGUCAGGACUUUCGAAGAGCGGCUCAUAGAUCUAAGAACGGCUCGAUUUGGAACUUGUCAGCUCCGAAAGCAAAAAAGACUCCAUGUAUCGCAACAGUGUAAUCGGUGUAGCUCAACGAUAUGCUCCCUUAAAAGGGGUUCUUGCUUUGCUGUGAAUGACGUUGAUGAUUUUUUGGGCCGUCCAAACGUAAAUGAGACUUAUGCUAGCAAAAGAUGAAUCACUAAUGUUCAUAUGUAAUGCCUUUAUGCUCUGGGGGUCUUUUCGAUUUAAAGAUAAAGUUAAAAGGGUGCCAACCAUUCUCGAGGUGCUCGCAGUACCGCGUUUCAUUAUCGUCCGUACGGUCAAGAGGAGUGACUUUCAUGAUUUUUACGAAAAAAAUCGUAUCGUGCACAAAAACUUUUCAUAUGUGUGAGCAGUUCGAUGCUACCACACAAUGGGAUCCCAGUACUAACGCUGCUCAGUUUUCCUACAGGCGUGCGCAAAACUUAAAAUUUUAAGUUGGAAAUUCGUUGGAGAAUUUUAGGUGAGCUUGUCCAAGCAGCCACUUGUUCUUUGUCAAGAGUCAACAGCUAAGUCAAACAGCAAAGUUCGACAUCUGCCCGCAAUACCUUACCACUUAAGCGUGCCUACAAGUGUGGCCCCUCUGUUCGGGCUUGUUUAUCAGAGCGCCAUUCGCGAGCCACCUUAUAAGCAGCGUUUAACUAAUGGCCUCCUAGAACGCUACAGAUCCUCGAAAGAAAUGACGGUAUUGCAGCCCUCCUUAGACCGUUCACUCAGAUGCGCGCUUUCUGCCCGCGUCUUCUCGCUCGAGCCGAUGCCUUAAUUUGAAUUGGAUUCAUUUUUGGCAGUCGAAUAUAAAGCUUCUUAUAAGCUGGAAACUUAAGUUUCAGAUUCUAACGCAAGGCGGGCCACGUACUUGGAAGUCUGAUUGUCACACGGAACUUUUUGGUGGCUCUCUAUGCACUGAUAAUAUUGCCACACGAUACAUCGUGUGUAUGUACAGAGACUCGUCAACAACGUAAAGUUUGAGACGCAACAGUUUAUCGACAUCCUAUCAAUGUAUCAAUUGCCAGUAACAUACUGGAUGGAUAAACCUGUAUAUUGAGGACACUGCCCUUAUAGAGAACAACAACGCGACCCAGAUGACAUCGACAAGCUUUUUACCCUCUUGAACGACCUAAUACGAUCGGCGCUCGUCAUUAGCCGUACAGAUUGAUUUUUAGGAUACGAUCAUCGGCUUUGCGUACGUUGUAAGUUGACACAGUUCGAGAGAAUAUUCGUGAAGCUAAGAUGGACGUGGGAAAUUUGAUGGGUUUAGGCAGUACUCAGUAGUGCACCGAUAGGGAACUCUUUAACAGAGCUGUUGUUUUCUUCUUUCUAUGGUCAUAAAAUACGUGGAUCAACCGAUAACACGAUGUUGUGCAAUAUAGUAGAAGUAUGAAAAAUCGACGCUUUCAAUGGGAUCAACCACUUCUUGUUAAGUUUUCCUAUUCUUAUUAACUUAUAUUCUUAAUAUCACUUGUUAUUAAACGAUCUUGCUCUGGUAAGUACAGCUUUUAGAAUGGGAAAGUACAAUAUAGGUUGUCAAGUUACAGAAACUAGACAUGUAAUAGAAAGCAUCCUGGAAUUGUCAUUAUAGUGGACCUGUUAUAUAAAAGCGACUUGACGAAGGCCAAGCAUGCCGUGAUCAUAAUUCAUAUCUUCUACUGAGCUGCUCACUACAUCGGUGCGAUAUUUGGGGAUAUAGGCUAUUUAUUAUAAAAUGAGUCAUUAGUUUUCAGGGCCAUCGCAUUCUAUAGGAUAACUAAAAUCGUGCGUUCAGCUUAAGUGGGGAAAUAGCUUCCAGCCCUCGAAUCGCUCAUAGUUUAUUUAUGCGGCGUUCAUUAGAUGAGUUGCUAGUUUGUUGUAUACGUACGUCGAGCCGCGCGUCACGGCUCAGACGUGAAAUGUAAGAGAGACGUUCGAGUUGAGCCUUCUUGAACGCGAACACGAUUUCGAACGCUUCAAAUAUAUGAAUUUAUCCCUGUAACCAGGACAACACAAACGAUAUCCGAAUCUGUAGAGACCCUCAUGGGUGCUCAAAGCUGGGCCAUAAUGCGAAAUCUGCAAACAAGUACGGAAACCUUCUGGUGAAAUUAUAAAAGUACUAUAAAUAAGUAACACACCGAACCGGAUUAUUUCCAUGUAGCAGA